rnacentral:rRNA from 1 species
UACGUAGGGUGCGAGCGUUGUCCGGAAUUACUGGGCGUAAAGCGUGCGCAGGCGGCUUUGCAAGACAGAUGUGAAAUCCCCGGGCUUAACCUGGGAACUGCAUUUGUGACUGCAUGGCUGGAGUGCGGCAGAGGGGGAUGGAAUUCCGCGUGUAGCAGUGAAAUGCGUAGAUAUGCGGAGGAACACCGAUGGCGAAGGCAAUCCCCUGGGCCUGUACUGACGCUCAUGCACGAAAGCGUGGGGAGCAAACAGG